rnacentral:rRNA from 1 species
CAGUCGCCGCGGGAAUACAGAGGAUGCAAGCGUUAUCCGGAAUGAUUGGGCGUAAAGCGUCUGUAGGUGGCUUUUCAAGUCCGCCGUCAAAUCCCAGGGCUCAACCCUGGACAGGCGGUGGAAACCACCAAGCUGGAGUACGGUAGGGGCAGAGGGAAUUUCCGGUGGAGCAGUGAAAUGCGUAGAGAUGUGGAGGAACACCAGUGGCGAAGGCGACUCUCUGGUCUGUAACUGACGCUGAGGAGCGAAAGCGUGGGGAGCAAACAGGAUUAGAUACCCCUGUAGUCCCUGUCUCUUAUAA